rnacentral:rRNA from 1 species
GACGAACGCUGGCGGCGUGCUUAACACAUGCAAGUCGAACGAAGUGGAGUACGGGAGAGUAAAACGUGGGUAAGCUGACCUACUCUUUGGGAUAAGCUUAGGAAACGGGGUCUAAUACCGAAUCAAGGGGGAUGGGCUCGGGGCUGAUCAGCUUGUUGGUGGGGUGAUGGCCUACCAAGGCGGUGACGGGUAGCCGGCCUGAUAGGUGAAACGGCCACAGUGGGACUGAGCUACGGCCCAGACGCCUGAGCGUGGCAGAAGUGGGGGAAAUUGCACAAUGGGCGACCGCCUAAUGCAGCGACGCCGCGUGGGGGAUGAAGGCUGUCGGGCUGUAAACCUCUUUCUCUAUCGAACGGGUAGGUGGAGAAAAAGCGCCGGCUAACUACGUGCCAGCAACCGCGGUAAUUC